rnacentral:rRNA from 1 species
GACGAACGCUGGCGGCGUGCUUAACACAUGCAAGUCGAACGGAAAGGCCCUGCUUUUGUGGGGUGCUCGAGUGGCGAACGGGUGAGUAACACGUGAGUAACCUGCCCUUGACUUUGGGAUAACUUCAGGAAACUGGGGCUAAUACCGGAUAGGAGCUCCUGCUGCAUGGUGGGGGUGGGAAAGUUUCGGCGGUUGGGGAUGGACUCGCGGCUUAUCAGCUUGUUGGUGGGGUAGUGGCUUACCAAGGCUUUGACGGGUAGCCGGCCUGAGAGGGUGACCGGCCACAUUGGGACUGGGAUACGGCCCAGACUCCUACGGGAGGCAGCAGUGGGGAAUAUUGCACAAUGGGCGGAAGCCUGAUGCAGCAACGCCGCGUGCGGGAUGACGGCCUUCGGGUUGUAAACCGCUUUCGCCUGUGACGAAGCGUGAGUGACGGUAAUGGGUAAAGAAGCACCGGCUAACUACGUG